rnacentral:tRNA from 1 species
UCCCGUGUGGCUCAGUUGGUAGAGCAUGGUGUUUGCAACGCCAGGGUUGUGGGUUCGAUUCCCACCGGGGAC